GAAAACUAAUGUUAUCUUCCCAUUGGAAGAUGCAUAUUAAUGAAAACAAUUACAAAGAUAUCGAAACUACAAAAAACACCCUCAAUUUACAACUACAAAAAAUACGAUUUUCUCAUUCACCUUUAUUACCGACUCUUCAACACGGCACAGUUAUUCAUAAAUCCCACUUAUGUGAUUGGACUCAUCAAUUCAACUACGGAAAUACCACAAAAUUACCUAUGAAAUCACAAAUUCAACAGUGAAAAACAUCAAUGCAACUACGAAAAUCAUCAAUUCAACUAUGAAAACAUUAAACACAUACUAGAAGAUUCAUAGAUCUGGGGAAAAAAAAAAAGCAAUAAGCUUAAAGCAUAGUUUUCAAGUCGGCAAAUCAUUAACAUAAUUAAAACAACCCAUAACAAUCCCAACCCUAAAAUCUAUUAAUAUGAUCUUCUAAUCUAAAAUAAUAUACCUAAUUCGAUUCAAUUAAACUAAAAAAAAUUGUAAAAUUUCCGUACUAAGUAGAUCGUAUGCAUAACAGAUCGAAAUAGAUAGGAAACAAACCUCUAGGCGGCGAAUCCGAGGAGCUUGGAAUCGAAAAUCUUUAGGAUGCCGCCGGAAAUGGAGGAGAGCUCCUCGAUCUGGAUCUGUAGGUUGUGAUAGAGGACAAGGGGCUCUUGUCUUCGUUGCUCUCCUUGUUCGGCUCGAUUGAUGAUAUUUUUGUAGACGAAGAGGAGGUUGCGUUCCUCGGCGGGGAGAAGGUUGCGUUCCUCAGCGG
rnacentral:lncRNA from 1 species